CAAGAGCAAUCUGCACUUCUCCAGACUUUCCCUUUCCUUUGUAAUUCUACUUUGGGAGAGACAACGCUGAAAGAGUUUAUGAAAAAGGUUGCCAUCAACAGAAGGAUUGAGAUGGAAAUCCUCUGACACAGCAAAGAGAAGAAGGAUAAGAUGGAAAUCAGGAAUGCGUUGUAUGGAUCUCUGCAGUGAAAUAUGCAUAUUUGUGCUGGGGACGGGGAUAAAACAGGAUGGCAAUAAGAAUCUAUUCAGAAGACAAACAACUUUACCUUCUCAACAAGGUUUAGAAGAACCAGCAAGAACAUUGGAAUUUUGAUGUAUGUUUGAACUUUUUUUUACUAAUUUCUGGAACUGCAGAACAGCCCAUUCACCAAUAACAUCAUCAAAGCAUUAUUUGCACUUUUGAAUUUUUAAUUUAAUUUAACUAAUUAAAUUUUAAUACCCUCUACAA